rnacentral:rRNA from 1 species
GAUGAACGCUGGCGGCGUGCCUAAUACAUGCGAGUCGAGCGAACAGACGAGGAGCUUGCUCCUCUGACGUUAGCGGCGGACGGGUGAGUAACACGUGGAUAACCUACCUAUAAGACUGGGAUAACUUCGGGAAACCGGAGCUAAUACCGGAUAAUAUAUUGAACCGCAUGGUUCAAUAGUGAAAGACGGUUUUGCUGUCACUUAUAGAUGGAUCCGCGCCGCAUUAGCUAGUUGGUAAGGUAACGGCUUACCAAGGCAACGAUGCGUAGCCGACCUGAGAGGGUGAUCGGCCACACUGGAACUGAGACACGGUCCAGACUCCUACGGGAGGCAGCAGUAGGGAAUCCUCCGCAAUGGGCGAAAGCUUGACGGAGCAACGCCGCGUGAGUGAUGAAGGUCUUCGGAUCGUAAAACUCUGUUAUUAGGGAAGAACAAAUGUGUAAGUAACUAUGCACGUCUUGACGGUACCUAAUCAGAAAGCCACGGCUAACUACGUG